GAUGAACGCUAGCUACAGGCUUAACACAUGCAAGUCGAGGGACCGGCGCACGGGUGAGUAACCCGUAUCCAACCUGCCCUUUACUCGGGGAUAGCCUUUCGAAAGAAAGAUUAAUACCCGAUAUAAAGGAUGGGGAUGCGUUCCAUUAGGUUGUUGGUGAGGUAACGGCCAACCAAGCCUUCGAUGGCUAGGGGGUCUGAGUGGAAGGUCCCCCACAUUGGAAAUGAGACACGGUCCAAACUCGUACGGGAGGGAGGAGUGAGGAAUAUUUGUCAAUGGGCGUGAGCCUGAACCAGCCAAGUAGCGGGAAGGAUGAAGGCUUAUGGGUCGUAAACUUCUUUUAUAUAAGAAUCUGUAUUAUAUGAAUAAGGAUCGGCUAACUCCGUGCCAGCAGCCGCGGUAAUUC
rnacentral:rRNA from 1 species